UGCAUCAAACAGGAGAACACCUGCGUCAAGACGUGUGCUGGAACUCGGAGACGCAGAUCUGUCCGGUCCCAGUCUGGAGCUGCUGCCUUCAUCAGCAUGGCUUGGACUGCCUAGGUGAAGGACCUCAAACUCCAUGAAGAUCCAGUCUGUGGACCGGUUCUGAUCCAGACCCGGGUGUUAUGAGGAAAUCUCUGACACAUAGCGGUUCUACUGCUGAGCGUUUCUUUGUUUUAAUCAAAUGUGGUGAAGGGAAGUGAGUGAAACACUAAACUAAUCAGAGUUUAUAGUUGGUCUUCAAUGAAAGAAGCUUUUUGAUUCUCACCUUGUCUGAGCUCAACACAUUGUAGAUGUGAAACAUCCCAUAAUGCACAGAGGAAAACAGAGAGCAGAAUGAGGCUGCAGUGGUUCACAGUGAGCUUCAAUGUUUCAGUCAGCUCUACAAUCAGGAGGAAUUUGAUUUCAUUUCUAGUCUCAAUGAUCAGUAAAGGUUUAGCAGGGAUUGGUGGCUGUUACUGAGCCGUUUUUCUUCUUCUGAAGCUGAAAUUUACAGAAACUCCAACAUGACGUUUGUAGGUUGAUGUCAGUUUUUAACAUCUAUAAAAUUAUUAUCAAGUUGAGUUUUCAAUUCAGAAAGUUAAAGCAGAGUUUUAACUCUUACAAAUGUAAAACUGGAGCACUUCCCCCUCUUGUGGCUACAAUUUGUAUUACAUACAAGCUUUAACUGGUCAUUUGUUUUAAUUCUUCUAAACUUAGACAGAAUAAAAGCCAUUUGAGGUCAAAUAAAUGAUUUUUUUCCAUUCUGCUUUCGGCCUUUUGUAGUUUUUCUUCAGUCUUUGGAUGGAUUGUUGUUGUUUCUUGUUUGGUUUUCAUGUUGGACAUCUGAUGUGCGGCGGCGACAUGAAGAUCAGCACUUUUGAUUUCUAAU